rnacentral:rRNA from 1 species
UACGGGGGGGGCAAGCGUUGUUCGGAAUUACUGGGCGUAAAGGGCUCGUAGGCGGCCAACUAAGUCGGACGUGAAAUCCCUCGGCUUAACCGGGGAACUGCGUCCGAUACUGGAUGGCUUGAGUUCGGGAGAGGGAUGCGGAAUUCCAGGUGUAGCGGUGAAAUGCGUAGAUAUCUGGAGGAACACCGGUGGCGAAGGCGGCAUCCUGGACCGACACUGACGCUGAGGAGCGAAAGCGUGGGGAGCAAACAGG